ensembl:miRNA
AAAAUCCCAUACUCACCGACUGCCAGCUGGUGAGAGGCCAGAUAGCCCAAGCUCUCCGAGGCUCCCCACCACACCCUGCUGCUGGAGACAGCUCAGCGAGGCUGUGCUGAGUGCUGGGG